rnacentral:rRNA from 1 species
GUGAAAUUGAACUCGCUGUGAAGAUGCAGUGUACCCGCGGCAAGACGGAAAGACCCCGUGAACCUUUACUAUAGCUUGACACUGAACAUUGAGCCUUGAUGUGUAGGAUAGGUGGGAGGCUUUGAAGUGUGGACGCCAGUCUGCAUGGAGCCGACCUUGAAAUACCACCCUUUAAUGUUUGAUGUUCUAACGUGGACCCGUAAUCCGGGUUGCGGACAGUGUCUGGUGGGUAGUUUGACUGGGGCGGUCUCCUCCUAAAGAGUAACGGAGGAGCACGAAGGUUGGCUAAUCCUGGUCGGACAUCAGGAGGUUAGUGCAAUGGCAUAAGCCAGCUUGACUGCGAGCGUGACGGCGCGAGCAGGUGCGAAAGCAGGUCAUAGUGAUCCGGUGGUUCUGAAUGGAAGGGCCAUCGCUCAACGGAUAAAAGGUACUCCGGGGAUAACAGGCUGAUACCGCCCAAGAGUUCAUAUCGACGGCGGUGUUUGGCACCUCGAUGUCGGCUCAUCACAUCCUGGGGCUGAAGUAGGUCCCAAGGGUAUGGCUGUUCGCCAUUUAAAGUGGUACGCGAGCUGGGUUUAGAACGUCGUGAGACAGUUCGGUCCCUAUCUGCCGUGGGCGCUGGAGAACUGAGGGGGGCUGCUCCUAGUACGAGAGGACCGGAGUGGACGCAUCACUGGUGUUCGGGUUGUCAUGCCAAUGGCACUGCCCGGUAGCUAAAUGCGGAAGAGAUAAGUGCUGAAAGCAUCUAAGCACGAAACUUGCCCCGAGAUGAGUUCUCCCUGAGACUUAAAGUCUCCUGAAGGAACGUUGAAGACGACGACGUUGAUAGGCCGGGUGUGUAAGCGCAGCGAUGCGUUGAGCUAACCGGUACUAAUGAACCGUGAGGCUUAACCUUACAACGCCGAAG